CUAGCUGUAAACGAUGGAUACUAGGCGUUGAGAGUAUCGACCCUCUCAGUGUCGUAGCUAACGCGUUAAGUAUCCCGCCUGGGGAGUACGCGCGCAAGCGUGAAACUCAAAAGAAUUGACGGGGGCCCGCACAAGCGGUGGAGUAUGUGGUUUAAUUCGAUGCAACGCGAAGAACCUUACCAGGGCUUGACAUGUCCGGAACCCUGCCCAAAGGCGGGGGUGCCUACGGGAACCGGAACACAGGUGGUGC
rnacentral:rRNA from 1 species